UGGACCUGAUAUCAGGCAAGAUCAU
rnacentral:rRNA from 1 species